rnacentral:rRNA from 1 species
AAGAGCUCGUAGGCGGUUCGGCAAGUCGGAUGUGAAAUCUCCACGCUUAACGUGGAGGGGCCAUUCGAAACUGCUGUGACUCGAGUCCGGUAGGGGAGUGUGGAAUUCCCGGUGUAGCGGUGAAAUGCGCAGAUAUCGGGAGGAACACCAGUAGCGAAGGCGGCACUCUGGGCCGGUACUGACGCUGAGGAGCGAAAGCGUGGGGAGCGAACAGGAUUAGAUACCCCGGU